GUGGAUGGUCUCCCUUGGUAGAGCAUGAGACUUAGUCUCAGGGUCGUGGGUUCAAGUCCCGUUUUGGGCA